AGGUGCUUGUGAGAGCCGCAAGAGGGAAGCCGGGUGAGAAUCCCGCACAAGGCCGUUGCUGUAUGGGCGGAGCAGCCCCCAAGAGGUCACUGGAGCGCAGGGCUCUGGGAAGGCGGGGAGAUGCGUCGGACGCCUGAGUCAGAAUACCUGCCUGCGUA
rnacentral:ncRNA from 1 species